rnacentral:rRNA from 1 species
UACGGGGGGGGUAAGCGUUGUUCGGAAUUACUGGGCGUAAAGGGCUCGUAGGCGGCCAACUAAGUCAGACGUGAAAUCCCUCAGCUUAACUGGGGAACUGCGUCUGAUACUGGAUGGCUUGGAUUCGGGAGAGGAAUGCGGAAUUCCAGGUGUAGCGGUGAAAUGCGUAGAUAUCUGGAGGAACACCGGUGGCGAAGGCGGCAUUCUGGACCGAUAUUGACGCUGAGGAGCGAAAGCCAGGGGAGCAACGGG